rnacentral:lncRNA from 1 species
UGUCUGAGACUACAGAGAAGUGUGGAGCCCACGGAGAAAAUGGAAUCCAUUUAGCCCCAUGUGUGGUGCACACCUCUAAUCCCAGGACUCUGGGAAGCUGAGGCAGGAAGAUUGCAAGUUCAAGCCCAGCCUGGGGAACUUAGUGACUUCAGGAGACUCUUCAGGAAGGCAAGGCUGGAGGGCUGUAUAGCGACGGCCUCUUGCCUUCUCUGCUGCAGGAAACUAGAAGCUGGAAGAGCAGAGGAGGCUCGCUUUCCCACUUUGUUUACGAAAGAGAAAGUGUCUGCAGAACAGACUGUGGCUGGGAACUCGUGCGUGCUUUUAUUAACGCAUAUGACCGAGGGGAGGGGAGGCUGGGCUGCAGUGUACAGCUGAGAGGGAGAGAGAGAAGUCGACCAAGACCCAGAGCCACUUGCUCCCUCCCCUCAC